AUGGAGCCUUCCCUGAAGUAUGGUUGAUGUACCCCAGGAUACUCCAUGGGAGAAAACUGAUUUCCCUUUCCCAGCAGGUAUCAAUUACGAAUAGCUUCUUGGUUAGUGGGUAGGACUUAUGCUCACACUCUCAGCGCUGACAUCGUCUGGUGUGAACUAGUUCAGGUCAGGCUCUGUGAGUUUAUUUGUGUUUCGCUCCUGUCAGGCCUAGAAGAUGCUGCUUCCUUAGCGUCAGCAACCACCUCUGGCUUUUACAAUCUUCCUGCUUCCUCUCGCACAUAAACAGAUCCCUGAUCUUCCAGGGGAGGGUUUGAUAUCUCACUUUGGACCGAAUCUCUCUCUGCACACUGUCCUGUGGUGGGUCUUUGCAUCUACAGAGUUAAUGUAAAGGAAUCUUUUCUGAUGAGGGUUGAGUGAGGUACUGAUCCAUGGUCUAGUAGCAUGUCAUUGGGAGUGCUUUUAUUGCUUUGUCCCUUUAGAAUAGUAACAGUGGUGGGUUUUCCCCUAGGGCCCAUGACCUACCUAGUCUCAGGCUCUCGAUCACUUUAGCAGUUUUGUGUAUGGGUUCUAUGCCAUGGAGUGAGCCUCAAACCUGAUUUUAAUCAAUACAACUUAUGCUUGAAAAUACACUUCAUGUGCUUUGUUUCCUCAACAGCCAACAGUAUUGGCUAUCUAUUGUAUGGCACAGAAUAUUUAGCUGCAUCCUUGACUUUCUACCAGCUAAGUGUCAGUCCCACCUCCCACUGGAUGCACUGGAUGCCAACAGUAGCCUUCUACCUCAGUGUGCGGCUAAACAUAUUUUAAGCAUUGCAAAUGUAACCUAAAGGGGGAAACUGCUUAAGAACCACCAUUCUGGCCUGAUACCUAUUUGCUAGUAGUGGUGGUAUCAUUAGAAAAAUUGGGAGAGUGAUUUCCUCUUAAUCCCCCUACCCUGACCUUUUCUUCAAGACAGAGUUUCUUUAUGUAAUCCUGGCUAUCCUGGAACUUGAUUUGUAGAUCAGAUUGUCCCUGGAACUCAGAGAUCUGCCUGACUCUGCCUCCCAAGUGCUGGGAUUAAAGGUGUGCGCCACCAUGGUCAGCUUGAAGGAUUUUCUUAAACCCUUGUCUUUAUUUUUCUGCAACCAUGGUGUAAAUUGUGUAUAUGAUAGUGUAACCGUGGUAUGUACACUCUGAAGAGAUAUGAAUACAUAUCUACUCACUGGACACAGGGAACUAAUGGCAGACCAAAGUAAGGAUCCCAAUGCAGUGUGGCUUAUUAAAUCAAUGAGCCUAUUGGCCUUACUUGCAGGAGGAUGGGGUUACUGACCCCCAAACAGCCACAUUGCUUAAGUCAACUCUGUCAUAGCUGCCUAGGUAGUGUGCACUCUUCAGGAACUAACUGGUCUACCAGCUAUGUUAGCAAGUACUAAAACCACAUGAGGUUGGGGCAGAAUUACAUACAGAUGGGAGUAGGGUGUGGAAAGUGGGUUAUGAUCUUUAGUUGACGGUCUAUGACUCUUCAAGUUCCUAUUCUAUGCUGGGAUGUCAACAAAGGGGUUCUGGUGAAGAGAGUGGUGUCUGCUAAUGUUGAGUUCACAAUGCCUUCUUGGCAAUAGCACACACGUUACAUUUUUGGACUGCCUUAUGUCUGUCUUGCAUUACCUGCAGGGACGCAAAUAUGGUAAACAUGAUGUGGUUAUGUGUGUAGGGUGGGCACUCACAGUAUUCAUAAUGGUCUCAGUUUUAACGGCAAAUUAGUGGAUUGUUCUGAAUUUUGACAGACUUAGACUGCGAUGUCUCCAUAUGAAAUUAUGUCUGGUUUUCUACAUUAUCUUAGAUAUGCCACUUGACAAAAAGUUACACACACCUGGAUUCUGAAGUCUCUUUCAGGCAUUGCUACGGGAGCAGCUUGAUUCCAUCACCACCCUAGAGAAGAACUUAAGAGACAUUUUCAGCAAUGACCACCACCCUUGGAAAACAUUUGGAAAAUAAAAUUAUUAGUGGAGCUAAA